UCAUGUGAUGUAACAAAUGAGCUAAAAUAAACAUCUCUUCUCUUUCUGGGAUAAAUUUAGGGAUUAAUUCCAAGAUUUCAAGGCCUUUCAUAAAAUGGAUAAAAAUAGAGAUGGCUGUGUAACAGCAUUUGACCUGCACAGGAUACUAGAAGAAUUCAACUGUUACCUUGAUCACGAUCAGUUACGCAGUCUUCUAAACAGGUUUGUGUGAUUAUCUUCCAGUGAUCUCUUUGGUCACACCCAGCAAAACCUAUAAUCUUGUAUCUAAUGUUAAGCAUAUUGGAAGCCUUGUUAAAACUAACAAAGAUAGCUACAUGCUUAAAAAUGCAUAUGAGUGAGAAAUAUUUUUAGGCCAGCAAUUGGUUGUACAGGUAAUGAGAGUGAAAAGUCUGCUUACAUAACGACGGUUUGCUUUGAAUCUGUGCAUUUGUUUGCUAAUUUUAUUUAUUUAUUUCAGAGUAAUACAGCAAAGGGGUGAAAGAGACCCUGUUCCAAACAAAAGCAGAAUUAAAUCAGGUUAUAAAAUAGCAAUAGCUUUCAAGUAAUCCAAUGCUGCUGCUAUGCAAAACUAUGCUUUUAAUUCAGUGUGUUAAUAUGAGCAAGAGGAAAAUUCUCUUUGUAGAGGCUGAGGAACACAAAGGACCUGCUCCAGCUUCAGCUUAGGAAUCAGCAUUCAUGACAGCAAGCUCUCUUAUUUUGAUUUCCUGAGAGCACUUGAUGAUGGCAGAGCAUUUAAAUACCAACAGAGACAACAGCAGGCUGCACCACCUGCAAGAUUUGCAGCGCUCAGCUUAGAACAGACCUUAAUUAAGAUAAAAGAAAUAGUUGCAACAUCUUAUGAUUUGUUGUACAAGGUUGUAAUUUGAAAUCGUGCUUCUCAGGCAUUUUCUCUGUGUGAUGAAAAAGGCACUGGAGUAAUUAAAGAACUAGAACUUCGGCAAGUACUUGACCACUUCUGCUUUAAAUUAUGAGACAAGCAGUUCAGGUACCUUCUCGAGAACCUUAACCUUUGCAAGGAGUUGACAGUAUACUGGAAAGCUUUUCUGAAAAUCAUAAACCUCCUCUCAGAACUCCACAAAGCCCUUAUUGUCUUAUAAACUGCUCUCAGAAGUUAAGUCUGGCAUUCAUGCAAAUGUAAGUCUCUACAUGUGGCAAGCUGAAAUCAUGACCAUGGAUGCUACCCAACUGGAUGACAUAAGAUGUGGGAUGCCCAAAUAUGCCUGAUGAAUUCUGAUGUGUCUAGAUGGACUGACAGGAGGCGGGCAGAAAAGCAGAAAUUCUUACUGCGCUUGAAAACAACAGGAACAUAUCAAAAGGUCCUCUUCGCGUCCUGAGUCAGAAAGUCUGUCACGGCUUGAGUGACUGAAAAGAGCAGAAGGAGGGACUACACUUUUUGGAUGAAGGAGGACCCAUAAACAGCUCCAAAAGUUUGUAACGUGUUAUAGGUUUUUUUAGUGUUUUAGUGACUUUAACAAUAAUUGUCAGUUACAAAUAGACGUAGAUUUACCACAAUACUUAUUAUAAGUGCAUCUUUAUUCAACAUUUUAUAUGGCUGCUUGAGUGCUUUUAUUCUCUGUAAAUUUAGCAUUAAUAGUAGUGUAACUGUUACUUUGUCCUUAGUGGCAAUAUUACAUUUAGUUACAGUUAUUUUAAAAUAGUUGGUGAUUUUAAAAUAUUUAUAUUUUCAGCUUAUUAAAAUUAAAAUUCAGUCUUAAUAGAUGUAAUAGAUUACAUGGUUCUCAAGUGUAAAACAUUGGAAUACUUUUUAUAGGUCAGAAAACGCUGCAUUUCCCCUUUAUUCUGCUAGUAUGCUGAUACAAUUUCAGUAAGUUUCAACUGAAUCAUACCAGCCCAAAGACAAAUUGUGUGAAAUACAUCUGUAUAAUUAUUUUAAGAAUGUUUUUGACUGCUGACCUACCAGCAAGCUUUAAGACUUUAGAACAGGUGUCUGCUUUUGCUAGGGAAGGUUUAGCUGCGAUGUCUUCUCAUCCUCCAAGGAGGCGCUAAGCUUCCAUAACAACUUGACAAGCUGCACACUCCUGGGUUCAAGCUCUGCAAGUGUACAUUUAACAUGAAAUAUCUUUAGCAGUACUCCAAGAUCCUGAGUACUUUCCACCUCAACUUAACAAAAAAUAAGCUACCUCCCCAUCUUUCAGGAGGUACUUGGUCCAUGACAGGGUUGGAGCCUGUACUGCUUUUUUCUAUAUUGAGCAUUCUCCUUGAACUGUUUUCUGUGUUGUGUUGGGGUAGAAGGGAUAAAUCCAUCAUUAAAAGCCCAAGUUAAUCUACAAGGGGACAUUUCUGAAAAGACAAAACAAAUAUGAACCAGGGUCACAGUACUGGUUCAGCUUCCAGAUGCUCUCAAAUGUCAUGUUUUCCUUUUGGGUUCAACCCAAAAUCUCACAUGCCUUUGCAAUUUCAUCCCACCUUGGGUUCACAUGUAUUCCUGGGGUUCUGUGCAGGUUCUGGGAGAAGGCUGGUAGUUAAAUUAUUCACUUCAUCCAAACAUGCUACAGUUUUGGCCUGUAAAGUAUGUAUGUAAAUUAAUAAGGUAUGCAACUCAUUCAGGAACGUUAGGAAAACUGAUCAUUAUGCUAUACAAUUUGAUCACUGAAGUAUAUUAAAAAGUAAUGAGUAAAGUAUGCAGCUUGAUCAUUGAAGUAUGGAAAAUUUACUGAACUAGUAAAGUACGAGCCUGGGAUGAUUUUUGUCUCACAUAGCACCUCA